UUGUGCCUUUUUUAUUGACUGAUUUCUAUGUUUUCUGAGCAUUUUAUGAAUUGGUCUUGUAUUUAGCUAUAGAGUAAUUAGGAAUAACCGUUAUAUGUAUUAAGUUACGUUUUGGAAUAACCGUAUACUGGUAUGACGAGACACUUUCUGUACAUGCCUAUCCAACACGGUGGAAGCAACCGGCUGCAGAAUUUGCAGCUUACUAGACAUAAGUCCUCAGCAAAUGCUUAAAACUUGCCUAGGUAUGAGUCCGUGAAACAUAAUUUCCAAUUGAAGCACAAUAAUGUUCAGCUACCUAAGUUAAGGUUGUGGGGUUUUCUCUGCAUGUUGGUUUCCUUCAUGGCUGUUAUCUUGCAGACCUUAGUGGAGAAGGGGUUCAAACUUGUCCUAGGUGGAACUGAAAAUCACUUAGUUUUGGUGAAGCGAAAAGCAACAUAACCUAAAAGCUUGCAACCUUAAAGGACUAGGGUGAGAGAUGGCAAAUAAGUUUAACUGAUGCUUUUUUCUAAAAUUAACAAAUUAGGCAAUGGAAGUUAUUGCACUGAACUCAGUUCUUCAGUCGGUGGGGUAUCAGUGUGAGGUUGUUAGAUGUAAUAUAUUGAUGUAUCUUAUGCUUUAGGUAGUAGUCUAUGCCAUGAUUCUUGAGGUUUGUCCUUUAAAAGGGUUGAAUAGGUUUGGGAGCUGCAGGUGUUGCAGGUAAGACCACUCACGACACCAUCAAAUUUCGUUUUUGGUAAGGUUCAGGAAAACUGAACAUGAUCAAGUUGGAUGGUUUUAUUGGAAGGUUUGCUGAGCCAUUUUUAUGGUUUUCUCUCGCCUCUCGCCCCGCUCCCCCACUUUUCCUUUGUCUUAUUUUUUGGUUUUUCCGCCUAUGUACAAGAGUCUGUGACUCCUUGUGACUGAAAAAUUCGCCGAUCAAGACUUCCCUUUCCUUCAACUCUCCAGCAGUUAAGUCCCUCCUCUGCCUUAGUUCCCGCAAAUGGACCUUACAAUAAGUGGAUCUUGGGCAGACUCACAAGGUUAGAUUCUCUCCCCCAUGUGUCUUUUUCUCUCCUUUGAAGGUCAAUUGAUUCUGAAGCGCUACCUUUCUUUGAUCUGGGUCAGAUAGCCUGUGCAUAGCUUCCUCAAUUUUUCUCUUCAAACAACCAAUCAUAUUGUCCUAAUUUUAUUUGAUAAAAUAGUUCUAAUAUUCUCUUUUCUUAUACAUCUCCUCUUCAUUUUUUAUAUAUUUGAUAAGGUAAUAAUAAUAUACAUCUCCGCUUCAAAUUAGAAGCUUUUUCAUUAACUUCCUUUAACUUAUAGGGGACAAACUUUUUUCGGUACAUAUCUCAUAUUCUAGCAGAAACAGGAUGGAUUAGCGUCUUUAUCAUGUUCCAAUGUGAAAAACACUUCAGCAAUUUGCUUCACUUGACAUUUAAGAAGGUUGACAGAACCAGAUGGAGAAGAUUGUAAUUGAGUCAUCUUGAACUUUAUGCAUUCUGAGGGCUGACAACUGUUUUGUGGUGCUGGUAAGUUAGUGCUACCUUGUCCAGGUUUUGGCAAAUGACCAACUGUGUUAAGUUAAUUGGUAAGUCGAAAAGAUUAUUCUUUCCAGUUUCUUCUUUCAUUUGGUUGCAGAUCUUAUUCUUCAAGUUUAGCGACUGGUUGAAUAUCCACCUCUUAAGUCAUUGCACUCCUUACAGCUUUGUGUUUACAUUGGCGAAAACUAUGAAUAAAAAUUGGAUUCGCAUGAGUAACUGGUUGGCCAUUGUCCUAUAUGCUUACUGCAGGUGAAAAUAUCUGUCUUGAUCCUGGAAAUUUAUAAUGGUAAUGUUUUGUGCUGCUUAUAUAACGGGGUGAACAUGUUAUGUUCUGAAUGAUUCAUAUCAUAGUGAUUGUUUUUUUAUGCAUGCUUUCUAUCACAGUGAAAUUUGCCUUAAUCCUGAGCGUAUGUGAUGCUAAUUUUUCUGCUACUUGUAUAAAAACACAGUGAAGAUGUUAGUUCUCUAUGAAUUAAUACUUUUGUAAUACGGAGUUGUUAUUUAUUCAGUGUUUUAUGCUUCUUUUAUUUAUCAUCAACUGUUUCAUAGUUUGGUUUCUGGCAGUGGAUCUCGUGGGUUCUAUUUAUGCCUGGAAAUGGGUGCGACAAACCUAUAAAUGUAAGAACCAUAAAACUUGGUUAGAAGAAAAUAAAGGCUGUUUUGGGAAGAGAAAAAAGGAUGUGGUUGCAUGGCUUUGCCUGCUGAGUAAUUGCAAUGUAAGUUUAUAUUCUUCAAACAAGACCGAAUGGAAUAUAUUUUUGUUUUACGAUAUAUCUAGUUUCUUAAGGUUUUCAUUCAAUUUUUACCAGUUCAGGUUGGAAUUCGAAAUUGAUUAUAUUUUGAAUUGUGAUAGGGGUAUAUUUUAUAGUGUAUGUGGUAGGCCAAUUGGUUUAAAGCUUGGAAUGUUUCUCGUGCACACUAUAUCACAUCACUGACUGACAUAUCAUAAAUGUUAAUGUCAAUUCUUUAGUGUAUUUUUGUACCCAAUCUGUUUCUUUGUUACUUUAUUCAUUUGUAGUGCAUAUACAGUUUCUGAAUCUGAGAAAAGAAAAAGGAUGCAAAUGAAAAUUCUGAACAGUAACAACUAACAAGUAGCAUGUCUAGCUUUUAAUGGAUAUUUGGAAAUACCAGUCUUCUUAUCUUAAUUUGGCAAAUAGCAUGGUGGAUCAUAUACUCUCUGUUUGAUCAAUUCUUGAGAUGUUCUUAUCGUUACAAUAACUUGUUGCCUACCUACCUGAAAACUCUAUCUUGGUGAAAUUAAUCAACAACAAAUACCAAAAGUAUUUUGAUAAAGAACUAUCUCAUAUAUAUACAUCUUCUCUUGGCUUGGAUGGAAAGACAAGCCACGCCCUUGCCAGUCCAUUUAAGCCAGUCCAACAAGCUU